UCAGAGGGGGGUAGAAUNCCACGUGUAGCAGUGAAAUGCGUAGAGAUGUGGAGGAAUACCGAUGGCGAAGGCAGCCUCCUGGGAUAAUACUGACGUUCAUGCUCGAAAGCGUGGGUAGCAAACAGGAUUAGAUACCNUGGUAGUCCACGCCCUAAACGAUGUCGAUUAGCUGUUGGGCAGCUUGACUGCUUAGUAGCGUAGCUAACGCGUGAAAUCGACCGCCUGGGGAGUACGGUCGCAAGAUUAAAACUCGAAGGAAUUGACGGGGACCCGCACAAGCGGUGGAUGAUGUGGAUUAAUUCGAUGCAACGCGAAGAACCUUACCUGGUCUUGACAUGUACGGAACCUUCCAGAGACGGAAGGGUGCCUUCGGGAGCCGUAACACAGGUGCUGCAUGGCUGUCGUCAGCUCGUGUCGUGAGAUGUUGGGUUUAGUCCCGCAACGAGCGCAACCCUUGUCAUUAGUUGCCAUCAUUCAGUUGGGCACUCUAAUGAGACUGCCGGUGACAAACCGGAGGAAGGUGGGGAUGACGUCAAGUCCUCAUGGCCCUUAUGACCAGGGCUUCACACGUCAUACAAUGGUCAGUACAAAGGGUAGCCAAGCCGCGAGGCGGAGCCAAUCUCAUAAAACCGAUCGUAGUCCGGAUUGCACUCUGCAACUCGAGUGCAUGAAGUCGGAAUCGCUAGUAAUCGCAGGUCAGCAUACUGCGGUGAAUACGUUCCCGGGUCUUGUACACACCGCCC
rnacentral:rRNA from 1 species